ensembl:lncRNA
UCAGAAAGUAUAGGACAGUUACACAUUUCUCAGUGUUUUGGCUCCACACUCCUGUAGUGUGGCUCCGCAAUGAAGGCGGAGCUGCUUUCCCAGGCUCACUCUCCCACACCUGCAAAACAUUAUUCAUCAGGAUGCUGUGUACUUAAGGACCAGCUGUGGCUGUGCAUCUCUGCCAGAAUCUUGGACCGCGACCUGCUCACUCACCAGAAGGACCUACCUGUUUCAGCCAGUUCCACUCCCUGCGUCCACCUCAGCCUGGCUCACCUUAGUGAAAGUCUCAGGUCUCACAUGUGCCUGCCUGCUCUCCACCUUACCAGCUUCCUCAUCUCUGGAACCCAGCCUGCCCUCUGACAUAUCCCCUCACUACCUCCAUUCUCUGGAUCUCAAUUAAGAUAAGCCAACUCAGUUAUAACAAACAACGUUCCCUCAUUACUCUCCAUCAGCCAGUGCUAACUCAGUUUCUCCCCAUCCACAGACCCUUCCAGAUCCUCAGCAUUCUUACCAUCAUUGCCUGGCUCUGUUCUCCCUGGUUAUGUCUGCACUUUAUAAAUAAACAUCUUAAUCUGU